rfam:Bacillus infantis NRRL B-14911, complete genome.
GAUUAAGGAUCGCGGACUAAAAACGCCACGUCCUGUGGCAACGUCCGCAUGACCCGCAUCCUGCGGG